rnacentral:tRNA from 1 species
GGCCUGGUAACUCAGUUGGCUAGAGCGUUGGCUGUACUAAAGCCUUCCCCUUGCCAGUGUGGGUUCGAAUCCCACCGAGGCCA